rnacentral:rRNA from 1 species
UACGUAGAAGACUAGUGUUAUUCAUCUUUAGUAGGUUUAAAGGGUACCUAGACGGUAUAAUUAGUCUUUGAUAGGAUACGGUUAUACUAGAGUUAUAUAUGAGGAGGUGAGUAUUUAUGGAGUAGAGUUGAAAUUCUUUGAUACCAUGACGACUGGUAAAGGCGAAAGCAACCUUUUAUCUAAUAACUGACGUUGAGGGACGAAGGCUCGGGUCACGAACAGG